GAUGAACGCUGGCGGCGUGCCUAAUACAUGCAAGUCGAGCGAAUGGAUUAAGAGCUUGCUCUUAUGAAGUUAGCGGCGGACGGGUGAGUAACACGUGGGUAACCUGCCCAUAAGACUGGGAUAACUCCGGGAAACCGGGGCUAAUACCGGAUAACAUUUUGAACCGCAUGGUUCGAAAUUGAAAGGCGGCUUCGGCUGUCACUUAUGGAUGGACCCGCGUCGCAUUAGCUAGUUGGUGAGGUAACGGCUCACCAAGGCAACGAUGCGUAGCCGCCCUGAGAGGUGGAUCGGCCACACUGGGACUGAGACACGGCCCAGACUCCUACGGGAGGCAGCAGUAGGGAAUCUUCCGCAAUGGACGAAAGUCUGACGGAGCAACGCCGCGUGAGUGAUGAAGGCUUUCGGGUCGUAAAACUCUGUUGUUAGGGAAGAACAAGUGCUAGUUGAAUAAGCUGGCACCUUGACGGUACCUAACCAGAAAGCCACGGCUAACUACGUGCCAGCCGCCGCAGUAA
rnacentral:rRNA from 1 species